UUUGGUGCUGUGAGGACCUCCAAGGGAAGCCAAGGAUGUGGAGCAGUGACUUCAAUCCUCAGCCAUCAUUUAUGUUAUCAGUCAUCCUCAAAUCCCAGCACAAACAACACUACAGGGGCAGAAGCACAGCCGAUGCCAACGCUGCACUCUUGGCAGGACAACUUCAUUGAAGUGCCAGGCAGGAUCCCCCAUUGUAUAAAUCAAUGCAUUUUAUCACAAACCUGGGCCUUCUGGUAAUAAACUAAACAAGAGCUGCUGCUUUCCUCAUGGAUGUAAUCAGCAAACAGGUAAUGAGCAUUGGUAAGAGGCCUUAAAUCCUUGGACAGAAGGCAUCCAGGAUCUAAAAAAGUAUGAUCACAGCUAUUCCAAAU
rnacentral:lncRNA from 1 species